GACGAACGCUGGCGGCAUGCCUAACACAUGCAAGUCGAGCGAGGUGAGUUCUUCGGAACGAUCCUAGCGGCGGACGGGUGAGUAACACGUGGGCAACCUGCCUCCUAGAGGGGAAUAGCCUUCCGAAAGGAAAAUUAAUACCGCAUAAGAUUGCAUCUUCGCAUGAAGAAGCCAUUAAAGGAGCAAUCCGCUAUGAGAUGGGCCCGCGGCGCAUUAGCUAGUGGGUGAGGUAACGGUUCACCAAGAUGACGAUGCGUACCCGACAUGCGAGGGUGGUCAGCCACAUUCGGAUGGAGACACGGGCCAGACUCCUACGGGAGGGGGCAGUGGGGAAUAUUGCACAAUGGGGGAAACCCUGAUGCAGCAAUGCCGCGUGAGUGAUGACGGCCUUCGGGUUGUAAAGCUCUGUCUUCCGGGACGAUAAUGACGGUACCCGAGGAGGAAGCCACGGCUAACUACGUGCCAGCCGCCGCCGUAA
rnacentral:rRNA from 1 species